GUGCAUUGCCCUUUUGUUCGCAGUAGGCAAAUGCCCCACACUAUCGACAUCUCUUAUCUUUUGUAAAUAUGUCAUUGUAGUCGGCCUAUGCUAGGUCCAGUGUGUUUCAUGGCUGAGAUAGUGCAGCGACAGGCAGGCAGCUGCGAAUCACAUUUCACUUUAGCUGAACUUCUCAAAUCUAUUUGAGCUAUGGCAGAGGGAACACAGUGAGUCUGUCCGGUCUACUAAUAGUCCGGCCCCGCCGCGGAUGUGGCAAGCGAGGACAUGCUGGUAGCCUAUUCUUUAUGAUUAUUUCUUAAAGAGCCGGCGAACGCAACACAGCUCCGUUUGCUAUGGGUGCUUCUUUGACCGAAGUUUAUAUAGGCCUACUUUGCUACACUGUUACAAUGUAUCGACUUAGAGCAUGGAUCACUACGUAGCUUAGUCGUCUUUCUUAUUUUCUCACACUCGCAUCAUUGUUGCCGCUGUGCAGCGAGGACACGAUAGUUACGGGGGGAGACAGACGAAACACAGCGUGACUGUCGCUCAGGACUUGAACUUGAACUUCAUUUUGAAAUCGGCGUCCAUGUGUGAUCGACGUUAGUCUUCUUUUUUUUUCCCAUAAGCAAUAUUCAUUAUUCUGUGAUUCAGUGACAAACUACGAGGAGAAAUGAGGAAAAUACAGAUGUUUUGAAGACAAUAAACUAAACUGCUGGCUGUUCCACCUCGGACAUUGAAGAAGUGGACAUUUCAAAUCAACAGAAAGUAAAAGAAUUGAAGAAUGCAUGUUAUAGAUGUUGUUAUAACAGGAUAACUACAUUAUGGUUCUGGAUCUACUACCCUGGUGGAAAAUAAGGCCUGUCUGGAUUUCAACAUCCUGGAUUUCACAUCCAUAGUUGCUGUGUGCUGCUGACUGUCUACCCAUGUCCGAUUUGAGGUUGAUUGGAUCUGGGGGGCAAUGUAUAGAGACGGAACAGACCCCGGAUUAAAAGGUGAAAUUAUGUUUAAUUGAAAUAUUCCUGUUUCUUAAGCUUAUUAAGGUACAGUUUAUAUUGGUUUGGUAUUUGGUUUGCUUUUCAUUGUGUGAUUUUCAUUCAUUCAGUAAAAUCAAUGGCACUAUGUAGCUGUUUGGUUUAACCUGAAAUGAAAAGCAUCUCGCCUCAUUGUUCUGUAGCCUGCAGUUACACAAAGUUAGUCAAAUGUUUAUGGUGCAGUUGUUUGCUUUGAAUAAACCCUCGCACUCACCAGUGUAAGAGAAGAAAUCUCAGCUAGUGGACUGUGGUUACGGUAAUGUUAGUGAUCUGUACAGUACAGUAGAAGCGGCUCAUACUCUGAAGCUGCCAAAGAAAUCAGUGAAAGAGGAAAAGUAAAUCCAGUACCUCAAAGGUCAGAUGAAGAUGAAGAGACAGUUGGCUCCCUGAGAAGUGCAACCCACAGUGAGUUGGCACCCUGAACUACACAAAGUCCCUAUUGUCAGUGGGUGCACUGCAAACAGCACUCAAUAGACCUAUAAGGCCUACGGCUCCAGUCCUGGGGGAAAAGCACCACCUGUUGGCCGUUUGGUAAUAUACUGCAGAUUGACGAGGCAAGUUCGAGAAUCAUGCUUGUGUGAUGAGUAACCUUGCCUGAAACCUGUAGAGUUAUGCUCCCUUAGUGAAUGCCCAGCCUUUAGCUCAGUGGGGAUAACACAGUCUUUUGGCAAUCUGGAGACCCAGGUUCAAACCCGGCAAUUCAACAUUAGUGUCACAUGUUCAAAACAUUUCCACUAAAAUGGCCUGCCCUUUAGCACCCCGAAGAAUGAUGUCCGUAAUGGGAAGUUAAUGAUGUGACAUUAGAAAUAGUGCAAUAUUUUGUCCGCGAGUUUUGUGUGUGUCCUUACCCUCAGUGGAGUUGUGAAGUUCAGCCAUGGUUCAGCUCCUCUUCUCUACAAUGGAGAAUGAAUCUGCUCCAUUCAUAUAAAGCUAAAUGAAAGCCACUGACUGUGCGGGAGGUUUCACAAAGCUCGAGGCAGAGCCAGGGUAUUGAAGUGUGACACCUAUAGUUUCACUUCCACAUGUUAUUAUAACCCUGUUAGUAUAAUAUAAUACUCACUUUCCUGGACACAGACCAAGCCUACUACUGAACUAAAAAGCAUUCUCAAUGGGAGAAUGUGUCCAGGAAACCGAACCAAUAUAACCAAAUACAAAAUACAUAUUAUAAUCUAUUAGUAUAAUAGUACAAUCCUAUUCGUUUAAUAUGGUCUCAUCCAUCCAGGUUGGAAUAGAAGGAGUAGCACUGAACUGACAGUGGAUUGCUACGGAGGGAUACAAUGUGACUGUGCCAAAAAAUGUUAGAAACAGUGGUAGAGUCUAUUUACUUCAAUUGCCAUGGGGUUGUGUGUGUCCUAACAUUAGAUUGGCUAAAGAGGGCAUCUCUGGACACUGGCUGAAUGUGACAAUGUGAUUUCUCUUCUCAGUCAAAGCACUGUUGUCAGUUAAAUUGAUAACAUAUACACUGAGUGUACAAAACAAUAAGAACACCUUCCUAAUAUUGAGUUGAGUUGCACCCCCACCGACCCCUCUUGCCCUUCGAACAGCCUCAAUUUGUCGGACAUGGACUCUACAAGGUGUCGGAAGCGUUCCACAGGGAUGCUGGCCCAUGUUGACUCCAAUGCUUCCCACAGUUGUCAAGUGUGCUGGAUGUCCUUUAAGUGGUGCACCAUUCUUGAUACACACGGGAAACUGUUGAGCGUGAAAAACCUAGCAGCGUUGCAGUUCUUGACACAAACUGGUGCACAUGGCACCUACUACCAUACUCCGUUCAAAGACACUUAAAUCUUUUGUCUUGCCCAUUCACCUUCUGAAUGGCACAUAUACACAAUCCAUGUCUCAAUUGUCUCAAGGCUUAAAAAUCUUUAUUUAAACUGUCUCCUCCCCUUCAUCUACACUGAUUGAAGUGGAUUUAACAGGUGACAUCAAUAAGGGAUCGUAGCUUUCAACUGGAUUCACCUCUCAGUCUGUCAUUUAAAGGUGUUCUUAAUGUUUUGUAUACUCAGUGUACAUUGAUACAGACUGUUUUAAGAUACAUUGACCCAAAUAAUUCAACUACACGCAACAAUGUUUCACCCCACUCCUGUGUAAAAUGGGCCACGGUUUACUUGACAAAGAGGCAUGGAUCCGUGCAAUGGGAAUUGUUUCAGCAACACAUCAGUCACUUAUUCAAGUGAUUCCGUUUUGAUUUAAAUAACCUAUUCUCAGUGACUGAUGGACAGGGAGUACUGGAUUUCUGUGGCAUUUAUGUGAUCCCUAUCCUCCUAUCAGCCAAAAGCUGAUGUGAGAGAAUGUGUGUGUGUGUGUGUGUGUGUGUGUGUGUGUGUGUGUGUGUGUGUGUGUGUGUGUGUGUGUGUGUGUGUGUGUGUGUGUGUGUGUGUGUGUGUGUGUGUGUGUGUGUGUGUGUGUGUGUGUGUGUGUAAUUCGCGACUGUGCAUCAAUCUCACUCCUCCUGAGGCCUGUGACUCACCUUUGUGGUUGUGACUCCCCCGUCUCCCCCUUUCUGAGGUAAACCACAGUGCUGCCCACAGCCUAUGUCACAGAGAAAACUCCCAGCGUUAACCACAACCUUUCACCUCUCGUCUCACCCCCUCCACAACCCCAACACUAAACCAUCACCAGAUUUAAAACCUCCCUACUUGAGUCACUUGAUAGUCUCCUAAUAGUAACUCUUUACACUCUCUUUGGAUAAUUCAUUCCAAUCGUUUAAAAGUUAACAGCAGGUAUUUGUCAGUGUCACCUUUAUAAACCUUUAUAAUAUAGACAAACUCUUGAUUUGAGUCUUGGCUGUAACACACUUGCUUUUCGGCUUCACAGUGAAAUCAACAACAUAGAAAAAACAGAGAUCCUAAUGGCUCUAAUAUGUAAUUAUAUGUAAUCCUAUGAUUGAAAACAUCAACGACAUUUAAUGUUAACUGUGAGGCUUGAGUAACUUAGUUGUGUGGAACAGAUAUAUCCGACCCUGGUCUGGUCUGCCUGGCUAAACUAUAAUCAAGGGUACUUAAUAAUGUAGCAAGGCAACAACACAGCAGGUUUAAGCCGAGCUGUCCACUCAAGUAGCUCUCGCUAACACACUCUCCUCUUUUGAGUCUCACAGAUGGUGUGAACCUGAGAUGAGUCAAGGAGGAACAGGAGGCAAAAUAUGAGAUCGGACAUGGACUCAUUGCAAGCUUCUACACCUGCAUUGCUUGCUGUUUGGGGUUUUAGGCUGGGUUUCUGUACAGCACUUUGUGACAUCACCUGAUGGAAGAAGGGCUUUAUAAAUAAAUGUGAUUGAUUGAUUGCAUGCAAUUCACCUUUUCAUGUCUGAGUUCUCACAUGAGGAUCACUUUAAGGACCACUCGGACUGUUCUUCAGAGACAAACCAACUGUCCUUUGGUGUGAGGUAGUAGGUUGUAUAGUUUUAGGGUCACACCCAAGCUGUCAGAUGACUAUACAACAUACUGUCUUUCCUGAAGUGGCUGUAAUAUCAUCACAGACUCUCCUCACAUGAAGAACCCUCGUCAAAAGCUGCAAUGAAAAUGUACCUUUCGUGCCUACGUUAUUACCAUUAUUACAAUAUUAUUACAUCAAUGUAUUAUUAUUCAUUUCAUAUUUGAACAGGAAAUGGGAUUUCACAUUUUCUGGUUGGACUCCAUCUCUAACCAACUGGUCAAACGGAUUGUGACCGGGUCGAUGGUUCAUGGUGUUCGCACAGAGUGAGGUAGUAGGUUGUGUGGUUUCAGGGUUGUUAUUUUGCCCCAUCAGGAGUUAACUGUACAACCUACUGCCUUCCCUGAAGGGCAGCAACACAACGCUACGAGCAUGGCCACAAUGGAGCUCACUGUCUACUGUGCUGCUUUUAAGUGGAGCGAGAAGUAAAGAAGGUAAGCUGUCUCAAAUCAUUGCCUUGGUACUUUUUUAUUUAUUUAACUUAACUAGGCAAGUCAGUUAAGAACAAAUUCUUGUUUUCAAUGACAGCCUAGGAACAGUGGGUUAACUGCCUUGGUCGGGGAUAGGACACCCGAUUUUCACCUGGUCAGCUCAGGGAUUUGAUCUUGCAACAUUUUGGUUACUAGACGAACGCUCUAACCACCGAGGCUACCUACCAAAAUGUGCUAAACAGAGUAUUUUAUGUAUUGCAAUUUGGAAAUAGACCUAUUGUUUAUAUAUCUUCAAUUUUGUAAUAAUCCAUACUGUACUAAAAGUCAUAAUAAAAAGUGAGUAGUCUUAGUCA